CUCAAAAGUCACUCAUUAAACUCUCUUAAUUAUGUUAAAUGUGGUAUGUUAAUUAGCUUAGUCAUCAGUUAGCUACGUUUUCUUAUCCUGAGCUAAUCAGUGCAUGGAAUGUUUCAUUUAGUAUCAUUACUCUACUUUAAUUUUUCGGUUAUAUACCUCUUUGUUUUCCAACCAUUAUAUAGAAAACAAUAAAAACAUAAUGGAAUGGACAUGGUGCAUGGGCACAUUUAAUCCGAUUAUAAUUUUUGGUGAUUUUCCAAGUGGUAGGUAUUAGCAUUCAGUUGUGUGAUUUUGUAUAUUAUAUUCAUUCUGCUACCAUAUCUUUUUCUAGGCAAACUCUUUCUAUAACAUACUUCAUGAAGGACUAAACAGAGAAGGCAUACUUCAGCAACAAAAAUCACUUGUCUUGUGGACUAUGCUAAUUGUUAAGACAUCAUCCAGUUGAGCUUCAUCCAUCUCAAUCUCCACUAUUCAAAAUGGGAAAACUGAUUUCUUGAUCUCAAAGGCAAUUGCCAACUGAAUAUAUAAACAAAGGGCUUGCAAAAGCUAGCUAGUACUACUAAAUGUGCCAAAAGCAAUGUCGAGAUGAAAAUGGAUUCAAGGGAGACUGCACGAGUCUGUUCUUGUAUGUUUCAAGAGGAGCAUAUAUAUUAUCAAACCACUCAUUAUGAGUAUGUCAAAGAUAUCACUUUGGUUACGCUUGUAGUUAUCAUUAUUUAGGUGUUUACAAGUCUUAAUUUUACUUAAUACGUGUCAUAUGUGCUCUUUUUGAUUUUUUUAGUUUUAACUUCUUUUGUUCAUUAUAUAAUGUAGGAAUUUUUUUUUCUUUGUUUGUUUUUUCUCGGUGAUCACGGGAAUAUAAAUUGUCCAUGAAUAGUAAUGUUGAAAAGAAAAUUCUCUUACCGUGUAGAAUUAGUUGAAAGUAUUGCUUUCAUUGACAUUAUUUCUCAAAGCAUUUAAAUAGCAGAAGGCUUGAUUUAAGUUUUUGAAGAUAAUGUUGAUAUUAUUAGACUACUUUCUUCUAGCCAAAGUUGACUGAAAUUUAGUUUAAAUAGGUGUUUUUUAAUUUGAAUAAACUCAUUAUAUUAUGUGUUAAAUUUGUAUUUUACUUGGCAAUAUAAAAAAAAAAAAGGGACGUGGCAUCUCCCAUAAGAUAGAAAUCCCAUUUCUCCUUUUUUUUUUUUUUUUUUUUUUUUUUUUUUUUUUAUUUCAUUUUCUCAUUUAUCCUAUUUGUAAAAAAAAUUACAUCCGUUACACACCUCUUUAUUGGGGGGUUAUGACUUUUAAAAACCAUAACCCCCAAUUGUUUAUGUGUUAUAAAUUGCAUCUUUCCUUUUCUUUAUUUUUUUGGUCGUUCUCAAUAAAUUGUAUUUCCCAGCGUGAUAGAAACAUGGCCUGGGGGGAGAUGGCUUUAUUUUUUAACUUACCCUCUGCUAAAGCAUGAAAUUAGGAAGAUGGCAUUGUUUGUGGAACGUAGAUGUUUAAGUUUAACAAAGUGGUGGACAGGACAUUCUGCCAAAGUAAACAUUUUUCCUUUUUGCCUUGGAGAAUUAUUUUCUUAUAGGCACCAGACUCCAAUUUCCAUCCUACAUUUUCUUUAAUAUUUCUUUUUUCAUAUUACAUGUGGUGUGGGCUCUUAUUGGAUUAAUCAGAGGUUAUAUUAAUUAGAUUUUGUAUUUGCAAACUCCUAUCUGAAUAUUAUAAUUUUCGUAAUGUUUUUAUUGAACUUAAUUUGUGAUAAAUGGUGAGAGGUGGCAUUGGAAUUGGCUGAAAAUGAUAAAAAAAAAUAUCUUUUUUUUUUUUAAAGCACAGCUAAUAAAAAAAUUAAUUUUCUUAUUUGUAUGCAAUUAGUAGUGUAACAGUUUCACAUCUAAUUUUAGUUUAACCUUUUUAUUCUUUAUAAGUUUUAUCGGUAGUGUAUCAUAACCCAUUCUACGUAAAAGUACCUACAUAAUUAUACUUUACAUUAAAAUAUAGGUUUUAUAUCCUAAACAUAUGUAUUAACGUAUGAAUUAACUCCAAAUUCAUGUUAGUUUAUGUAUUAAGAUGUCUAAUAUAAUACACAAUGGAAUAUAUGAAAUGAAAACAAUCGGUAAUGGCGAGUGUAGACAAAAGCAACGGUGUUGAGUGUGUUAGGCUGAAUUUUCUUUUUCCUUUUGAUAUUAGUUUUGAGAAUAUUAUUAGAACAAUUGAUAGUAUUAUGGUGGGAGUACCUGACAAAAGUAAAGAUUAAAUUUUUAAGUUACAAAGAUUAAUAAAUAUCAUUAUCUAUUCUGUCUUUGAUUUGCUUUA